UUUGGGUAAUUGAGGAAUUAGGGCUUAAACACUUAUUAUGGUUGUUUACAAUGUUAUUCGGUUUGAAAAUGGAGUUAGGGAUGAUAAAUUUUGACUUUUGUGUGUGGUUAUCUGGAAUUAACUUGAAUAAUUGCUCUUAUUGCACAAUUCGACGUGUUAUCGUUUAUUUUCUACUAGAAAUUUCUGUUUUUAAAAAGUGUUGAUAAAGUAUCAAAGUGUCUCCUUAAAUGUUCUUGCGAAGUUGUGGAAUUCUUUAGCUAGCAAAAACAGUUUGAAAGGUAUAUUUUAUACAAAAUGAUAUUAGGGACUAUAUGGACUUGGAGUUGGACUUAACAAAUUUUAUCGUAGAAACAAAUAACUUAACCCUUUUAAGUAACAGUAAAACAUUUUAGUUCAUCCUCAAGUCUACACACACUCGUAUUACUUAAUUGGGAGCUUGCGUAACCAACUGCAAGAGUACAUACGACUAAAAGGAAGAGAUGGUAAUUCGGUUGUCUAUAUAGAGAUGGAUAAAGGUCUUGUCAUUAUGUGUUGUUUGUUUGUCAAAUUUAGAAAGAAUUCUUUCCAAAAAAUUUAUAUUGAUUGUUUUUGUUUCAUACAUUUUAUUUAUCAUGUAUAAAAGAGGAAAUUUUACUUAUUGUAUUUGAAUGCAUACAUUUCCGUGCAUAUUAGUGGUCUUUUUCUUUUUUCUUAUGAGCAAUAGCUCCUGCAGGUUUCUCAGAUUGAGAAAGACCUAAUGAAGAAUUGAAAUAUAGUAGUAAAUAUCAGGAUCAAGAUUCAUUGUAAAGUUAUUUUUCAACUAAGCAAUCAUGAGUUUUGUUUUCCGAGGGACUAGAGCAGAUCUAGAAGGUGGAUUUCCAGGAUUUAUUCCUGAGCGACGUGCAUUGGUAUGUUUGAGUUAGCAUCUUUAUUUUAAUAUGUGAAGCUGUACAUAUGAUGUUUGAGAUAGCAUCUUUAUUUACAUACUUGAAGCUGGAUAUAUGAUGUUUGAGAUAGCAUCUUCAUUUUUGCAUACUUCAAGCAGAUUGUUUAACUUCAUAUUGCACUGAUUGAUCUCUUCAUCAGCGUGUUCAUGCAGCUCGUCCAGCUAAUACCAAUUCCCUGGCUUUUCUUGUUACAGGUAAAAGAUUUUGUUUGAUGUUUGAUUCCUUCAUUGACAAUGUUGUUUAUAAAUAUGUUUCUUUGCCCGAAUGCUGUGCUCCAUGUUUCUUCUUGCAGUUCUUUUGCUGUUCAUGGUACUGAAUUCACACCAGAUGUCACCAAAUUUUCUGGUAUUUCCUACUCCUGGUGAUUUUAUUGAGCAUAUUACCCUCCUUGCUCUUUGAUAUUUUAUACCAUAUUUAUGGAAAUAGAAAUUAAAGAGAGCCUUCUUUGGAUCUUGUCUUAUAGCUUUGGGUAGUUGUUGGUGUUUUCUUAGUCGCCACAAGCCUUAGGAUGUAUGCAACCUGCCAGCAACUUCAAGCUCAGGCCCAAGCUCGUGUUAUGGCUACUAGUGGAUUGCUUGGUCAUACUGAGUUGCGAUUGCAUAUGCCACCAUCCAUAGAUUUUGCAACAAGAGGACGAUUGCAAGGACUCAGGCUCCAACUUGCACUUCUUGACCGGGAAUUUGAUGACUUAGGUAGUCUUCUUGAUUUCUUUGUGAUAGAUAUGGAUGUAUUUUUUACAUGGAUUUCAAAAGCCCUUCUUUCACUUUAGCUUGAUGAUAACAUAAUUCAUUUCUAAAAAAGUAUUGUUCAUGAGUUUGCAUUGCCCUUUCCCCUGCAGAUUAUGAAACUCUGAGAGCACUGGAUUCAGAUAAUGCCUCCACUGCUACUUCAAUGAGUGAGGAAGAGAUAAAUGCUCUUCCUGUUCAUAAAUACAAGGUCAUUGGCCCACAAAGGCAAGUUCUCUUUUCCUUGUUACCUCUCCCAUUGAUAUUUUUUUGACUUGUAUAACAUGAAAUAUCUAACAUUAUGUAUGUUUCAAUUGUUUACAGUGAUGGCUUAUCACGGCAGGUCUCAUCUUCUUCAUCGUUAGCUGAGGUAUUUAUUUAUCUUGUUAAUUGUAUCAUAAAAAGGGCAUUAGUUAUCCCCCUUCCAAAUGUGGGAAAAACAGACAAAAGGAAGUGUAUUUUAAACCUAUAUGGAAACUUUGUCUUCAGUCAAAAUUGAAGCUGAAGUAGAUGAAAGAUUUAACUGCUUAGGCCGUUGUAUAUGGUAUAGUAUAUGAUACAUCUUUGUGUUACGUCAUCCAGUUUCCCCUAAUUGGAUAAAGCAAGUAUCCCAUCGAUUUACGUAAUAUCAACACCGGAGAUAGUUAGGCCAUAUUUCGAAGUUGUAAAGUUGAUAUCCUAACAGAGACACUGAAAGCUUUAUGCAGUUGAAUUGUGCCUUUGAGUUGAUAUCCAUUGCAAACGCUAUAUUUUUUUCUAUAGCAGGAUGGAUUUAGGAGACCUGUACUUGAUUUAAUAGAGAUUGAUUUCUCUAAUACAUCAUGGCAACAAGGAAUGAUAGUUCCUUCGGUAAAGGAUAACCAAAAUAUCCUUCUACACUUCAGUUUAGUUUAUUAGGAAAUCAGCCACGUUGUUGGAUUGGCUUAAGAUGCGGGUAAACAUGGUUUUCCAAGUUUCUAGUGACUAAUGAGCUCCUCCUUGUCUUCGUCUAGACAUAGUGUUAUCCAGUUGGAGGGUUGCUGUUCAGAAUAUCGAUAGGCUACAAAAGGUAGGGAGACUUAAAGUGCCAAGUGAUUAAAGAUUAUAUUGGUACAGACGUAGAGGUGUCCAUAGGAUGUGAGUUUAUUGGAGCUGGGGCUGUGGUGUUUAAGAACUUCAUAAGCUGCUUUGAUUAUGAAAUGUCCUCUUAGAUUUGUUUCUCAUAAAAUCUUGCCAGUUUCAGCUCUGGAGUUGAUAGUACUCUCUUACCGUUUUUAUAGUGUUCCACAAAGUCUCAGGUGAGUGUUUGGCAAUUCUUAACCUUUUGUGCCAAAUGAAUGGGCUUUACACUUGCGAUGACCUCUGUACCAGAUCUCACGCUACUGAAGUAGUGUUACCAUUAUUUGGCUGCAUUUAUGUAACUAUACUUUAUUUCUUGAACUUAUAUAAGCAUGUUUGUGAUUAUGAGUCUUGACAGGCUAAUUUAUAUUUCAUUAUUUCCUGGGUGAUAUAUGACAGCAGAAAAAUCAAGACUUCACUAGGGUAGAUGGAAACAUGAAGCCUUCAGAAGAUGAACUUACAUGCAGCGUUUGCUUGGAACAAGUCAAUGUGGGUGAGCUCAUCCGGAGCUUACCAUGCUUGCAUCAGGUCAGUGUUCAGUCUUCAUCCCUUAGCUAUGUUCUGUAACGUGAUAGUGGCGAUACUGAUUUGAGUACCCUAUCUUCUCAAACACAGAGGGCUUUGCUUAAGGCUACUUGUUAACACCUUAAAUGUUGCACUUAGAUGUAUACAUUGCCAGUAAACCAAGGUUAAUUCUUGGUGUUAUGUGGGAUAGUGUUAAUUCAUCUCCGCUGUAUUGGAAAAUUUCCAAGCAAAAGGGAGGAAAUAGUAAUGAAUAAAGGUGAAUAAAGGUUGUAACAUAGUUUUACUCUUUAUCUGCAGUUCCAUGCCAUCUGCAUCGACCCAUGGUUACGACAACAAGGGACCUGCCCUGUGUGUAAGUUUCGAGCAGGGUCGGGGUGGCAAGAACAUGGGGAGAGUGGGAUGGAUGCUUCUUACAUGGUUUAAAAGCUCGUGUAACGAAUCUAACUCAUUGUAGUUAUUAAUAUGUAUCUUGGAGAUUAAAAUGAAUGUCUGAAACCAAUCUGUAAGUAGGGGGUACUGGGAUGGAUGCUUCAUGCAUUUACUACAUAUAUAAGAAUGUAUGUAAUACAGAAAUCAAAUGAUGUUGAUUGUAAUGAAUUUGCGACAUAUAUAUAUGGAUGAGGUCAAUUUUUCUUGUUGGAGUGUAUCAUUAUUUUCAACUCAUCGCAAAUUGGUUUUGAAUUGCGAAUUUGAUGCCAUUUCCUACCAAUUGUUUAACAAGGUAAAUUUUCUUUUUGAUUUACACCCUGCUUGUACUUGGUGUACAACUGUACACUGUCUUCCAUAUUAUUUAUUGAGAUCUUGCAUUCUGUCCCAUGUCGUAAAGGGAUGAAACUGUGAAACUGUUGAAAUGGGAUACUUAAGAGCAGUACUUUGGAGUGUUUCUGAGUAAUAAUCCCAAUUUUUAUUUGGACAUAACCAAAGAAUAGACCUUAGGUGAUAUUACAUGGAUAUCAUUCCAACCAGGAAAAAAAAAAAAAACACGGUAAAAGGUGAACUUUUGAUAAAAAUUUUAGCUGGUGUGUUGUGGAAACUUAAUGAUUAAGGGUGUUGCUGAUAAUUUUUGUAGUAGUUGGUGUAACCAUGUUAAGCUUUCUCAUCACUGUGAAAAUAAUGAAAAUGCCCAAAACUUGCUUAGAAGAAAGUUGGGUCGUAAGUCUUUGUUCCCUUGGUUAGAAACUCAUAUCCACAACAAGACCAACUACUCCCUUUGACAACAAAACAAAACAUCUUCUUCCAUGAGCAAUGGAGCAUGUAACAUCCAUGAGCGAUGGAGCAUGUAACAUCCAAAAUUGACUUCAAAACGACUUUAUAUGAUAGUAAUCCUUUGAUUUAUCUACCUUUGUCACCAAAGUUAAGGUUGUUUCAUUAUGAUUAUACUACUAACUAAAUAAAAGAUCGGUAACCUACAUAAGGGAAGACAUUAUUUUGUUAGAUAUGAGAUUGAUGGAAAAUGAAUGGUGGCCGAGUUAGAAAUCUGAGUUUGGGAGACGCUCUAACUUUGUACUUCUCAAGAGUCAAGACCAAACGCCAGCACCCUAAUGCUACAUUCCUCAUGGAGUCAUGGCAGCUCGACCUUAUGUUACUGGUGAAGGAACCUUCGACAAUUCUACUACCACUGGUAAUCUUACAAUACGAGUUGUUAUCAUUAUCACAUACCUCUACAAAGAAACACCCUCUCUUUCGACCAAGGCUUCCUUCCCUCAAUGACACUUCUUUUGUUGCCAAGUUCUUUAAAAAGUUCCGUAGCCUAGCCACUAAACUAGUCAGUUUUCUGUGAAUGUUCCACAAAACUUCUUUUCUUGCCAAGUUCUUUAAAAAGUUCCGUAGCCUAGCCACUAGUGAGUUCCCUGCGAAUGUUCCACAUAACGUGGACAAACAGUUCUUUUUCACUGUGGCAUUGGGUACUAGUCCAUGCCCAAAAAAUCAUACCUGCCAAGGACCUAAUGGCUCCAUGUUUGCCGCUUCUAUAAACAAUAUCUCCUUUGCUCUUCCAACAAAAGCCCUACUCCAAGCACACUUCCCUGGACAGUCCAAUGGUGUAUAUGCGCCAAAUUUCCCUUCGAAACCAACCAUUCCUUUCAAUUACACUGGAACACCACCUAACAACACUUGUGAUCAAUGGAACUAAAGUUGUAGUGCUAUCCUUCAAUACUAGUGUUGAAUUGAUCAUGCAGGAUACAAGUAUCUUAGGUGCCGAAAGCCAUCCACUUCAUCUUCAUGGCUUUAAUUUCUUUGUAAUCGGUCAAGGCUUCAGUAACUACGAUCCUACUAAAGACCCCACCAAGUUCAAUCUCAUUGACCCCCUUGAAAGGAACACCAUUAUAUUGGUGUACCAUCUGGUGGUUGGGUUGCAAUUCGUUUUCUGUCAGACAAUCCAGGUAAAUGUUACCAUCAUCCCUUUAUUAUUUUGAGUGCAAUAUUAAUAUAUUAUUAUGCUAAAGAUUGGUGAUUGCCUGAUUGAUGUGUGAAAUAAUUACAGGUGUAUGGUUCAUGCAUUGUCACUUGGAGGUUCAUACAAGUUGGGGGAUUGAAGAUGGCAUGAGUUGUGUUGGAUGGAAAACUCCCUAAUAAUCAGAAGUUACCUCCUCCACUAGCUGAUCUUCCCAAGUGUUCAAAAUCCAUUUUUUUUAAGAAGCAAAGCAUCAUUUUUACCAGAAAUUUCCUGAUUAUUCUGUAUUUUAUUUUCCCUUCCCACGCGCGAAGAAAGAUUUCAUGUGCUCAACAAUGUGUCAAUGUUAUCAUUUUGAUCAUUUUUUUUUUUUUUUUUUUUUGCACUUGACAAGUGGUAAAAAAAAAGUUAUUUACUUAUUUUUAUUUUUGUUACUGUACAUUUUUCUUGUAUCUUGAUCUACUAACAAAAGUUCAAAUUCAAUUCAAUCGGAUCUUAUUUUCUUUAUUUAUGCUCUUUUAAUUAACCAAUCCAAAAUAUGUUACUCGAUAUUGUUGGCAUUUGGCAAGCAAAAUCUAAAUCUGAUAUAGCUGUAUAGCAUUUUGCAUAUCUUUUUUCGUAAACAAAAUCUACUGACAAUACCUAAUACUGUCCCACUUCUACUUUUUAAUAAAUACAAAUAGAUUAUUGUUUGAUUGCGUAAUAACCAGAACAAAUCAAGGGUAUUUAUAGUAAUUUCACCAACACUGUACCACCACCAGCACCACCGAGUCACCAACACAACACCAUCUCUCUCUCUCUCUCUUCAGUCUUCUUCACUCACCUUUCACCAAAUCUCCACCACUUCCACAUAUUCUGUUCAUCUCCACGGCAUCCACGUCACAACCCAACGCACCGUCCUGAGAUAUCGACGGCUCAAUCAUAACGCCGCCGUAUCGUUGUUAUCAAACUUUAAUUUAAAUCCCCAAACUACCCUUCCGCAUUUCCUUAAAUCUCCACACUUGCCCUCAUCUUCUUCUUCUUCUUCGCUAAAUCAAGUUCAGAAAAUGCAUCAAAGGGGAACUAUAUCGUUACCUAUAAUUGUAGUUCUAUGUGCAAUUGGGUUUAUAUAUUAUACAACGGUUUUUGUUUUUAUAGAAGAUUGGUUUGGUUUAAAAACUUCUCAAGGUUUAAUGAAUGUUGUUGGUUUCACUACAAUGGCUUUAAUGUGUUUAUUGACUUAUGGUAUUGCGAUCGUUAAAGAUCCAGGUCAAGUUCCUGAAACAUUUGUGCCAGAUAUUGAAGAUUCUGAAACUCCGAUCCAUGAAAUUAAGAGAAAGGUUAGUUAUUUUACUUUGAUUAUUGCUCAAUUUUGUUACAGUUUUAGUGUUGUUUUGCUCAAUUUGUAAUCUUAUUAGCUUAUUUUUGUGUAUUUGAGGUUUUAAUUUGUACAAUUUAGCCAAAACUUGCCCCACUUUUUUUCCACCAAUAUAUUGUGUGUUCCCCACUCUAGUGAACUGUGAUUCUGUCUUACCUUAAAGAUUCAUAGAUUUGUUGCUUAGCGCAAUUGAAAACUGUAAAAGAAUGGGCUGGAAAUUAGAGUCAUUCUAGCUUGUAUUUGUUCUAGCAUUUGACUAUACAAACUCACACAUUAUGAAUGUGUUGAUUUACUGAUGUAAUAAUCUUACUGUAUAUAUGGCUUGUUGUGUGUUUUAAUUUGAUCUCAUAGAUACAAAAUUUCUUUUCAUGGUAUCUGCUUCUAGGUUUUUAAUGGUAUAAUAUAUGAAAUAUCUAGACUAAUGUCCACCGUCAGGAAUUAAUGGAUCUUCAAACUCCUCCCAACACUGUAUGGUUUCCAGAGUUCAUGAGGUUUAGUUUAACCCUGGUCUAUGCAUUUAUUCAAAUAUGUGAAUAAGUUAUGCAGAGCUAUGAUAUGAUACUGUAAAGUGUAGUUAUGCAGAAUUAUAGACCAGUGCAAACAAGUUGGGUCAUCAUGAAUGGCAAUAAAUUUCAUAUUUGCCUUGUUAUGCUCAGAGAAAUGGUUUCCCAUAUGGGUGCGAGAAAAAUAUUUUCAUUAUAUUGUAUUGACAGUUUCUAUUCUUGAUCCAAAUACCUGUUUUCUCUCCAUUUUACUUUAGUGAUUUCGAAAGAAGAUCAUCAUAACAAAGUUUGAUGUAAUCUUAAACAAUUCCUACUUUUAAGAAGGUAGAGAUACUUCUACAUCACAAAAUGCUACUUGAAUGCGAUUAUCAUUUCUCAAAAGGAUAAAAUGAAUCAAGUAGGUAAAGCAGAAAUGAGAAAUGUCUUUAGCUUCCACAGUGGACAUGGAUCAGUUGAAUUAACCCUUUUACAUAAGACGGAAAUUGAAACGAAUUUUGUCCCUACUAAUGCUCAUGAACUUGGCCAUCUAAAGCUCUAUUUCUUUCUGAAGUAUAUCUGUCUCUUUUUUAGGUCCCUGCUUUUAGUGUAAUAUAAGUAUUCAUAACAAUCCUUCUUUUCGAUGUUUUAUAUCUAGAAUAGAAUGAACAUGGCAUCACUACUAUAUUGGAAGAAGAAUAUGGUAGGCUUUUGCAUUUUUCUUAAAUCCCUUCUGAGUGAAAAAAGGAACAUAUCUUGUAUCAAUUACUUUUGUCUCUGAUGUUAUGUCUACGUUAGGAUUACCAUUCAAUUUUUGUUUGAUGGAUUUUCUUUUGUAGGGUGGGGAUUUGAGAUUUUGCCAAAAGUGCUCCCACUAUAAACCUCCCCGCGCUCAUCAUUGUCGGGUUUGCAAAAGAUGUGUACUGCGAAUGGUAUGUAUAUAUUUUGACUUGUUACAAUUUUUGAAUGAGAAUAUAUAAAUGUUGAUAUUUGGUCGAAAUUUCUUACUUUGCAAUUAAUAAGUUUGUGAUUGGUUGCUGAAACUGCCAUCCUGUAAACAGGACCACCACUGCAUUUGGAUCAAUAACUGUGUGGGCCAUGCAAACUACAAGAUUUUUUUUGUAUUCGUGGUGUAUGCUGUCAGUGCAUGCAUUCACUCUCUGGUAUGUUUCCUUUACUGUGUGUCUUAUUUCAUCACAAAAUCAAGACUGACUCAUGUCGUUUAUCAAUAUCGUAGCACCCGUGUGGCACUGGAUUCAGUUCCAGUUUGGCCAUCCAUGGUGACAAAUGUUGAUGGUUUGUAUUUGACAGGAAUAUGCGUUUCUUUUCUUUUAGGUCCUGUUUGUGGGUAGUAUUCUUCAUGAUGAUCCAGAGGUUGAAGAGCAGAGUGAUGGUUCAUCCAGACUCUAUUACGUAAGUAGUACGACAAUCUUAUGGUUUCGAUGACAUGUAAAUCUUGAUAUGCCAAUUAUUUAAAUUCCAGUUUUACAUCAGUUUUAGCAAAAAUGUUUUACUCAUCAGUUGGUAUUGCAGAUUAUCUCUGGUUUACUGUUAGUCUCAAUAACUAUGGCAUUAAGCAUCCUCUUGGGCUGGCAUAUAUACCUCACUUUGCGCAACAAGACCACAAUAGAGGUAUGAAGUAAACAAUUGAAAAAUAAAUUUUAUUUUUAGGUGUUUGCUGUCCAUUUUUCACAGAUAUAUUUUUUUCUGUGUUUUCAUUGAUUAUGUUGCAGUAUCAUGAAGGGGUGAGAGCAAUGUGGCUUGCCAAAAAGGUUGGCAAUAUUUAUCGGCAUCCAUAUGAUAUAGGCCCUUAUGAAAAUUUAACUUCGGUAAGAAUAGUUUCCUUGCUUGUAUUAUCAGAAAUUUUUUCUUCUAGUAAGAAUUUACUUCUGACAUCUUUCUUUCUUGAGUAUAAAAAAUUAGAAUGAGGUCUAAGCCCUCCUCUUGUAUAAUUUGGAUAGGCUUAAGUUAUUUAGUCCAUUAUCUUUCUUCUUUGCAACUUUUGUUCGGGUCAGUUUUGGUCAUGUAGUUGGUCACAUAGCUUGAAGUGCUUGUUUAGCAAAUGAAUUUAGUCAUUUUUUUUUAAUCUUUUUUCUGUCUUCCAUGUACUGUAAAGCAUCUAUCCAGAUUUUACUCUUGGAAGCAAUAUCCAUUUCCUUAAAACAUUUGGUCAAUUGAAGAAACUUUUCUUAUACUCUGAGGGGUUAUUUGAUUAAAAAAAUUCCUCUAUAGCUAGCUCUGAAAUAUUUAGUUCAAUAAUGUUUUUGUAAAUUGGUCUUGUCUGAUCCCUGUCCAGGUUCUUGGCCCGAACAUUUUCACAUGGGUUUGUCCUACGUCCAGCCACAUUGGUCCAGGAUUGCGUUUCCAGACAGCCUAUGACAACACACAAUGAUGAAAUUCUCUAUACGAGAUAUUGAUGCUGCAAAUCAAUCACUUCUAAUGGACAAAAUGAAGCUAACCAUUACCAUAGCAGGUAGUCCAUUUUCAGCUGGUCUGCAUGUAAAUUAUUUCCAGGUUGGUUGGAGAGUUGACGUCUCCUGCAUUACAUGGAGUCAAAUGUAAUGUCAAAGUGACAUCUUUCGCUGGUGUUCACUUAAAGGUAACUAAAUACUGAUUGCGGCUCACGAACAAGUAGGGUAUAGAAGGAAAUUGAAAAGGGUAAACAAUGGAAAACUAUUUACUCAUCAGGAGCUGAUUUUUUUGUUUUCUUGUACAAAAGCACCAAGGUGGUGGUGUUAGUGUAAAACCUGGUUGUAGAAUUUAGAAAAAAAAAAAAAAAAGUGUUAGGAUUAUGAUUUUAUCUAAUUUGAAAGAAAGUGAAUGUAAUUGGAUUAUGCAUAUAUUUUAUUUUCUGACACUAUCUUUAGUUUACAGUUUACACUAAUGUCUGAUCUACCCCUCAAGCAUACAUAUAUGGGAAGUGUAAAUGGUAAAAGAUAUUUAACUCAGGAGCGACUUUGGGUUGUAACUGUGAAAAUCGAGUAUAGAACUUAUCAAGUUAUCAGCAGGCUUGCAAUAGUUUAUUUUAUGAUCCAAACUCUUAUUUGGUUUCCAAAGAAUGAAAAUGUUGGGAAGCUAAUUGCUGCUAGCAACUGGACCUAUCGAUACGAAUACUAUAGGAAUGGGGUGUUUGUAGUUGCUAGUUGCUACCUAUAGUACAGUCUUUUGUAUCCGAUUUGUCUCUUAUGUUCUUGACUUAUUGUUGGAGGAGCAUGUACCAAAAGAAGAAUGUAAAUAUCAGAUAUUUAAAAAUGGUAGAUCAGCAUGGGUACCUGGAGGACCAUGUCAAAGAAAGAAAGAAUGUGAUUUACAAUCUAAUUUAAAAAAAUAAAAAAGAAAGUGGUAGAUUGCAAGUUGUCUGUGGGCACUAUGUCGAUCAUCCCAUUCAGGUUGAAGGUAAAGUGAUCGAGUAUGGUCCCUCCACCUUGGAUUAACCCAUGUGUCUGCCGUAUGGUCUAAUCUGAUUCAGAAGUCAUUUUGCUUCAAGUUAAAACACACACUGUGACACACAGAACCACCGAGCGAGCAAGCAACCAAACUUACUUUGGUAUAAAAUAAAGUCUUCUUUUAAAGCAAUUAAACACUGUAGUCUGUAGGUGUGUUUAGGUGCUCAAACCCAUCACUUGCUCACUUGCUCACUUGCUCACUUGCUCAUCUUUACUCUUCAAAGUAAUGAUGAUGGAUUGAUGUGGUGAGGAAAUUACAUCUAAAACUUGAAUUCAUUUCAUUCUUCAAAAAUGGAAGAAAUUCAACACAAUCCAUCUGAUGAAUUUAACAGGUUUGUUUUCUAAUAAGUUUUCAUGAUUUUUAUUUACUCAUAUCCUUAGAAUUGAUCAUGGGGAGGUUAGGGUUUGGUAAUUAGUGAUCUCUAUCUUUAUAUAUUUUCUUGAUUUGUAAGUUGUAUAGGUUUCUAGAAGAUUGAUGAUUUAAUCAAUUGUAGAGCUGUUCUGUCUUAAUAAUAAGAUCUGUAAUAUUACUACCAAGUUUAAAUAGAUUUUACUUAGAUUGAUGUAAAACCCAAGUUGAGGUUUCAAUUUAAAAAAAAGAAACCUUCAUUUUAGCAAUCAGAUUGUUUAAUAUUGUGAUUUAAAUGAAGAUAAUGUUCAAUGCACCAAUAUAAUUAUAAAGCAAGUGUAGUCUUAGAUGAAUGGUUGACAUAAAUGAUGGUCGAUUGAAGAGUGUUCAAUUAGUCUUCGACAUUUUGCACUAGUGCGCUACUUUCAAAUUUUGGAAUGGCAGCAAAACCUCAAUUAACAUCACACCAUGUCUAGUAAAACAUUUUCCAGUUUUCAAUGUUUUAUGAGGCAAGGCUAUUUUUUACAUAUGCUCAUGGUGAUUCAUGGAACUAGGGAGGUUGUAGGCUUGUAGCACAGGUGUUCUUCAAAUUUUGACAUUGUGUUUAGAUGCUUUCUUCAUCUCAUUUAUAACCUGUCAAUUGUCAACCUUUCUUUCAGCUUCCUUGUCAGCAAAAUUCUUCAUGACAACAGUAUUGAUUUGAGCAAGAAGAGGAAGUUACUAGACAAGAAGUUGAGUUUUCCCAUCCGUAAGUAUAAAUUUGGUGAGAGAACCCCUGGUUCUAAACAUUUGUCCCCACUUGUGGAAGAUUUAGAGGUAGAAGAUAUUCUGCAGACGUUGAUGGUGAAAGUAAACAGCAACACUGUGCACCAUGAAAGCAAAUCAACACUACCGGCCUCUGUGAUUGAUAGUAAUAGCUUUGCUGAAGAGUCGGACUGUGCCAUGUCACAAUACACUGAAGUAAAGUCUGAACCAGAAUUGUCAGACGUGUGUAUUCAUGAACAACCAGCUAAUUCUAAAUGGGAGUUUCCAGAGGUCUAUGCUGGUGACAAACCCUCAACUUCCUCUGGGAGCUGUGGCAGCAACAGUUCCAAUAAUACAUUGUAUUCCUUAGACAACAGAAAUUUCAAAAAGUUAUGUGUUGGGAAAGAUGAGGCGCCAUUCCCUGAUGACCAGCACCUUGAAUAUGAAUACCAUGCUGAUUAUGCUUGCACAGACAAUGAACCUGAGGAAAUUAAAGAAUGUAUGGAUACUGAUGCUGAAGAUACGACGCUUUAUUCCAACGGACCAUCUGAUUUGUUUGUACUUUCAUCAGGAAGAUGGAAUAUCAACAAAGGUAAGUCCUUUUGGUGAUAAUACAUAUACCCAACCAGGUAAGAUUAUCCUGCUAAUUUGUGUACUCUCUGGCAAUAUGGAGGUGCUUAUCCUGCUAUAGAUUAUUCAGAAUCUUACGUGCAUUUAGAUUUAUUAGAAUGUCGUUAGUGUUAAAUGUGCUGAUGUUAAAUGUCUCGUCACAUGUUCCCUAGCUAUGUGCAUGCUCUCUGAUGAGAGGGCAGGAAGAAAUCAGUGAAAAGAAACCAUAUUUGAUUAAUUUCGCUGUCUCCAGAUCAAUAUUCCCUUUAUGUUGAUGUUAUCCUGAUUGUUGAUUCAUGUUCUUUUUAAUUUUAUGUGUGUUCAGAUGCUGAGGCUGGAAUGAGGAAACCAACUAUUGAUCAAGAAUUUGAGCAGUACUUCUCUAUGCUAAUGUUGUAGCUAAGACUAUUGUAUCCACAAAUAAAACACAUGCUUCUGAGAUGUUCCUUCUAGACCAUGUUUGUGAUUAUUGUAUAAUAUAAUUACAUAUAAAACGGAAUAUAUCUGAUACAAAUGUCCAACUUGGCCUGCAUACAUCAUCUUUGGCUAUACUGCAAUUUCUGUGUUUUAUAUUUUCGCCAUAUUUUGGAUCCUGUUUAUACCAGACAAAUAAAAAAUUCUUAAGUAGCGGAAUUCAAAUUUAGACGAGAAAGAAGAUGUUAGGUUUUAGUUGGCAAACUUCUUUUCAUAAUGGAUUCCCUUGGUACUGGAGAAAAAUUCCACUCAAAGUUGGUUUCACAGAUGCGAACAACCAUGAACCAUAUAUGCUCCAUAGUUGUGAUAUAUGACAACCAUAUAUUCUACUGAUUUUUGGAAGAUAUCAAGUAAACGAGUAUCUGCCUGUUAGUUUUCCCUUUUGAUCAAGUUCUCUGAUGUAAAAGCAUAGAUAUGAUUUUCCCUUUUCUCUUCUUUUGUUACAUAGAUUGACAGUGUUUUCGUGCAAUGCAUAACCCCUUGAACUUCUCCUUAUAGCAUUCACCCCUGCCUUUCUGGUCCUCUACAUAGCUUGGAUGCUUGUUAAAACUUAGAAGUUUAUAACAUUCUGAAAGGCUACACUUGACCAAAAUUCAAUGGAACUGGACAUGUGGUAAUAACAACAGGGAGUAGAACUAGUGAAGAAAACAUCAACCUUAGACGACAAAAUUUGGAAAAGUUCCAAACCUGAAAUGGCCGGUGCCAAGUUUUUAAAUUUGUCUUUUGGUGGGAUGGCCAACAUUGCAUUGCUUUCCUCUAAUAUAAUUUACAUUAAGAUAUCACCUAUUCAUAUAUAUACAAAUUAGCCACCAAUUUUUUUCAGUCAAAACACCACUCUUUAAUUUGGCAGAGCCUGCAACGGUUGCAGGAUAUUUGUCUCUUUCUCCUAUCAGUUUGUGAAUUGUUGAGCAGUGACAUUGUCAAUCCAACAAGAGCAACAAAACUCUUAUAGAUAGGUAUGAAGGAUGAAUCCAACAAAAAGAUUUGCAUUGAAACCAGUAAAAUAAAAAAGAAACAAGAUAGCUAGAGAUUUAUGGAAUUCUAAAAACUUUCUCAUAUUUCACAAGAAUUAAUUAAGAUGGCUACAUAUUUAAUCAGUCUAGCUAAUCUAAUUGAUUCCAGAAAACCAGACAGAGAGAACUAAGAACUAACUAUAUAAGAAAAAAGAGUUAAAAAACUGAAAUCCUCAAUAUAUAACCUAUACAGGUAUCUCUUUUUUCUCCUAUGUUCUCUGUCUCUCUAUGUAUAUCAUCUUUUUGGUUUAAGAAUCUGAAUAAUCUCUCCAGCAGAUAAGCAUAGUAACACAUCUUCUUAUUAUAUAGAAUCUGGCUCUUUGUUCCUUAACCAAGCUAGCACACUUUCUUGUAAAACAACACCUUCUUCUUGAUGAUGAUGAUGAACUCUUCUUAGAAGAAGAGUGACCCUUAGACCCUGCUUUAUCCAUGCAAUUUAGAUAAACUGUUUCCAAAGAGUCAAAAAAGGUUUGUAAAUGGAAAGAAACUAUUGUGUACUACUUAGGAAGAGAAAUGAGUUUGAUGAGUUAUUAGUAGAGUUGGGGGGUUUAGUUAGUGGGUAUUUAUAAGCAAAAACAUUAAGGAAGAAAGAGCCAAAAAGACUGCAGUAGCCAGUAGUAGUAGUACUACCUGCCUGAACUUUAAUUGCGGCUGUGAGAAGGGAAAGAAAAAGGAGACUAGAUUCAGAGUCAGAAAAGAGUCCUAGAGUAAGUAGACAAGUAGUACUUGCUAAGAAGCUCAGUAGAAGUAAUUGUUUUGGUGUCAAGACCAGAGUCCAUGAUAUUUAAACUGCCCAGCUGUUCAGUGUUCACAAUACUUUACUUCUACAACAAAACACGGUUUUUACACAGCUUUAUAAUAUUCCUUUUCUGACUCUCAACUCUGCUUUCAGUUUUUUUGACCAGUAUGUAACUGCAUCACUGCAUGAAGUACACAGACUCAGCAGUCAGAGCACUAUUAUGCUAGGCCAGAUUCCAGAAUAUUUGUUCUUAUCAACUGGACAUCAAGCUUUACUCAUAACUCAUAAGCUCCACCUCAUUCACUCUAUCCAUGGGAAUCUGUUACAGUGUUACUCAUCAUAUCAGGAUGUGAGAGAUGCCUGUGAGAAAGUUCUGUUUAAGUGGCUAGGUUUUGAUUUCUCUCCAUUGGCAGAAUAUUCACUAGCUUUGCUAAUUGCUAUGUUGAACAAAUUAAAUUCUAUGCUUUAUUCCUAAUAAUCAGAAUUUGUUCCUGUACAAUGUUAAAAUUUUUUGUGACCAAUGUAAUAAAAAUUAAAUUAGUCGCCAAAUUUGAGAAUUUGUUCCUGCGGUUUCUAACAAAAUGCUUGUUAACUUGCCUUUCAGCAUCUUGAUGGACUGAGUCUGACCGAUGAUCAACACCAAAUUUUGCGCAAAUUUACUAAACAGAAGGAAUAAAUGGUCCAUUUUAUUUGAUCUGAUGCAUCUGUAUUAGUUCUGUAUUAAGAUGUGCAUUACAAGCUUAAUGGUGCAGUUCACAAGGAAUUAAUCAUUUCUUCUCUGUCUCUCAGCUUUGUCUACAAGACUAUUUAUCACCAAUGGAACAACACAAUCUUUAUAAACAGACAAUAAGAUCAAGUUUCUUGGUCGGGGGAAAUAUUGUCCCUAAAUAAAAUGAGUUCCCAUAAGAAGCCAUGUUUCAAGGCCAGGAAUGCCUUGACACAAAAUCAAAACACUUUUAAGGUUGGUAUCUUUCUUGUAAUUUGCAAUGACACAUUCAACUUAGAUAUAUGAAAAUUUGUAUCACCUAGGUCCAAGGAGGAGGGCAAUUAAGUAGAUAAGCUAAAAUAUCGCAUAGUAGACGGCUGAGAUUGCAAAAGCUAAAAAAAAAAUGUAUGGUUGAGAUAGAAAAUGCUACAACGACAUGCGAGAAACUUGAACGUCAGCAGUAGUUCAGGUUGAUAGACCACUACCUUACUACGUAGUCCUAUGUUAGCACAUUCCAUGUGGUACCAUGGAUUUGAGUAAAUGAUAGUUUUUGCCUGCAGGUUUAAAUGGCUGCAUUCAGAUAUCAGACAUCCCCACAUUGUUAAUUUCUUUCAUUGAUAAGAAGUCCUCGUAUCUUGGAGUCGGAAUGUGCAUUCUUGAGAGAACCUGGUACCAUGAACAUAAAGAUUUGUUACAGAAAAAAUAUACUGUAUAUGUUUUCUUAGAAAGACACGCCACCUCUAAACUUGGUUCCUUAAGCAGCAUAAAGGGAACAAGACAAUCCAAAUACUGCUGUCAUGCAGAUCUUGUGUUUAAGCCGACCUUCUCGAAAAAUAGGCCAUAUAUGUUUCAUAAAACCAUAUCUUUUGAUUGCAGGCAUUUUAUAAUCUUCUUCAUCAUGAUUCAAAUAUCCCCAAAUGAUUAAGAAUGUAUAUUUUGAUUACUUAGAUCGCUCAAGAACUACGCACUCGUGCAGUUAUAGUGUUAUACACCAGUUUCUGUAAUUACAAAUAGACUAAGCUUGGGUUCUAUCUUGUGUUUCAACUUCCAAAAACAAACAGUUGUCCUUAAUAAGGCUUUAACCAUCUCCAAUUAUAGUGGCACUUUACUGAUUGCUGCUAAACUGCUGGGAAAAGCGCGCAAAGCUGUUAUUCCAAAGAUCAUGGAGAUUACAGUGCAUGAAUGUAGAUUAAUGAAAUAUUAAGAUCACUUAAAGAAAAAUCAAAAGAUAACAAUUUGAUAUGUGUCCUUAUAAAACAUCUAUCCGAGAGCCGAGCACAACAGUAGUACAUUUGAAUGUGAAGUAAGCAACAGUAUAUCGUUAAUGUAUUUUUUUUAUUUAUUUUGUCUUAAUGGAUUAUGUACGCUAACAGUACAGUCUAAUAGUCUAUCAUUGUUAAUGAUUGAACCUAAUUUGUUGACUGAGUUUUUCGCAAUUAAAUCAAGUUGUUUGGGCCCAGAUAAAAUGGAGUUUGGGCCCUUCAUUAAGAUAGGCAAAACAUGGGCGCGUCACACGUAAGCCCAAGAUAUGACGCCAUAGUGGGCCUAUGUGAUUAUAAAGCCCAAUGCCCGGCCCAUUUAUCCGCAACAUUCUGGGUCUAAAAUUUUGGCCCAAAUAUGAUCUCUCAAAAUUCCGAUUGAAAGUACCUUGGAGCAGAGCGCUGCAACUAGUUACCAUGGCUAGACCUGAAAAAGAAAGAUCAUCUCUGAAGUCUGAACCUACUUAUACCCGAUAUCAAACACUCGAACACGCUAAACUUUUCAUCAAAUUUACAUGUACAUUUUUUUUUUUUAAUCAAAUUAUUUACAUGUACAUGGGUACAACAAAAGGAUCGGACUAUCGGAGGAAGAGAGACAGUGGGUCCACUUAAUGUCCAUAGAUUUUUCCAAUAUACAUUAUCAAGUUGCCUAUUCCAAUAUACAUUACAUGGUGAGAACUGAGAAAUCAGAAAUGAGAAUGCCAUGUUACCAAGUCAGCUUCCAUUUCAUUCUUCAUGAAGUGAUGAAACAUCAUCAUAAAGUGUAUUAGAUUUCGAAAUUUGGUUGUUGACUUUGUUCGUACUAGGAUUCUUGUUUUAACCAAGUAACCCAAAUCUUUAAUUUGUACGAGAAUAUCUCUCUUCGUGUUUGUCAAUAUCCUUUAGGUGACAAUGUGAAACAUACAAAUGUUUUAUAAAAGAGACCCCUCACCAGUUUUAUGCUCAUUAAAGAAUGUGCAUUAUAUACUUGAGAAAUAGUAUAUCUGUUGCCCCACAUCAAAAUUAAGGACGAUCACUCAACAGGGAGAAUUCUACAAUCAGGCAUCAUACCUGUUGUUCCAGCUUGGAAGGGAAAAUUUCCCAAACUAUCAAGUUAGAAAAUUGGACCUAGACAUGCGCCAAUCAAGAUGAAUGUAAAAACAAAAUCUAGGUUUCAAUAGAGUAGGCUAUGAAAUGUUAUUGAUUGGACAAAUGUGGAAGUAGUCCAUGUCCAUGUUUAAUGCUCAUGGUUCUAGAGUGUAUUUUGUUGGUCAAUUGGAACCUGUUAAUUCGAGAACUUUUGUUUCUGAACAAAAUUUACCAUAGAUAUUGUGUCGCUAACAUCUGAAAUAACAUAAAAUGAAAAUUCCAACAAGUGAUUAAGAAUUAAAGAGAAAAUUACAACCUAGAUAAAAAAUUAAAAUGAUAGCUUUUAAUUCUUUGGAACAAAUUUGAUUACAAAAAUAGCAAUUUUGAAUCCAUAACCUAGUAUACGACGAGUAUUGUGCACCAUAUUUUCCAAGCAGAUGAUGUAGAAAGUUAACUGAACCAUGAAGAGGUAUGUUGUUCAUGUGAUUGUGAGCUCAUUGUCAUGCAGAUGAGCACAAAUGGUUGAGAUCAUUCAUUCACCUAAUGUAAAUCAUUUAGCUGACAUAUUCACAACACGGCAUUUGAACUCAGUACUAUGAACUUUGAAAGAGUAAGCUCAACAAAUAUCUUGUAACAUAGUGUAAGCAUAUAUUACACAACAUGAAAACUACAUAGAGUGAAAUUUUUAAUUUGAUGUUUUGGACCAUAAACACUUGGACCUGACUAUGGAAGUCCCAGUUUAUUAGAAACCCUCCAAAGCUAUUGUACAUAUAAUAGUAAAAGAAGCAAGAAGACAAGUUAAAAAACAGAUGAUUUCCAUGUACAGGACUUUGUCAAGCGAAGGCAAAAAGGCUGCUCAUUGGUAACCAAGACUGAUUGAUUUGCUGAGAGUGAAAAAGAAGAGAAAAGAGAUUCACCUCUAAAACCUCUUCAUCUCACUGUUAAAACCCAAGUGUCCAAGACUUAAAAGUUCUUCAUGAUUUACUGUUGCACAGAUUCACCUAAGUACAGACAACUAAGAGUCACAGACUGAUUGGAUACAGUUAAAUUCAGAAUAAAGUCAGAAACAAACCUCAUUUACAGCAGAUAUCUCAAGAUCCAAAACACUACAACACAACAGAUCACCAGUUACUUACAAUAGCCUUUGCUAAACAAACCUACAACACAACAGAUCACCAGUUAACCUACACACACCAGAGUAGCAUUCUAAACAAACCUAAAGUCUUAUGUUAUAGAUCUAUCCUUGAAAAUAAAAGCAUAAAGACUUGGAAAGAUCUACCAAGAGUGUGCAAAACUAUAAAAGUACUCACAUUCAAGUAAAAUUUUGGGAAGAUCUUACCUUAUUGUGCAUAGUCAUCUCAUGGAUCAAAAGGAAGAAUAGUCAUUUAUUGCCGAUGCAGCAUCAUCAAGAUUCCCAUCUCUAUAAAGUCCUAUAAGAGUGAUCAAUAUCAAAACCCAUCAUAAGGCUCUUAGGGUUUGUGAAUCUUAAUGAUGCUGCACCAGCAAGAGACGACUGGUUUGAUAUCUUGAGAUCUUCUUCCCUCAUGCAAAAGUAUAAAGGAAUUGAAAAGUUAUGAAAAAAGCUAAACCCUAACCCUAAAUCAACUUCAUGGAGGGGUGACUCAGAAAGUUAAGAAAAGCAAGAAGAAUCUCAAAAGCAACAAACCCAUAUCAAGAAAUUAAAAAUUAAGAAGACCCCACUUGAACAAAAAGCCAAAACAAAAAUUAAAAGAAAAAAGAUCUACAAUAUGAAUAUAAAAGAAAGAAGAGAAGAGGAUAUAGUAGUAAAGGAGAAAUGAUUUUUCCUAUAAGUGUAGAUCAAAUAGCUAAUGGGGAUGAUAGAGGCUGAUAGACAAGUUGAAGAAAGAGAGAACAGGAGAGGAACAGGAGAGGAACAGGAGAAAAUGUGUGAUGAAGAUUGAAGGGGAAGUAGGGUAUAAAUAUAGAAAUUUUGAGGGAGGGGUAUAAAAGUCUUGGACUCUUUUGAGGUGUGAGUAAUGAAUAUGAGAUAGAGAUCUUAUAAGAGGAUUGGUUGGUGGUGAGAUAAUGUGAGAAGAGGAGAGAAGCUGUGUUGUACCCACAACAGUUAUACAUCACAAUCCUUAGUUCCUAAAUUACCAAAAACCUUUAAUCCAUUCUGCCCUAACCACUUACCACUGGUGUUCAAGUAAAUUAUACCCACUUACAUAGGAGACAUUUGGUGCCUUUUUUUCCCUUUAAAUAGGGUGCAUUAAAGUUUUUGAGGAUUUCUUACUUGCUCUAUUAACAUAUCAGUUGACAGAGAUGCCUGACCAAACCACAUUAUCAUGGGGUGCCGGGUGCGCGCUCUAUAAGGAAUUUAUAUGUUGAUUGUUUAUUAAUUAACCCUCCAGUUUUGCUAGUUUUACAUUUUCUUGAGAAAAAAACCCAAGAAAAUUUAUGUCCAUUCUUGGUGAUUUUUUAAUUUUUGAGAUAAACCUUUUGUUUAAGCUACCAAGUAGGCAAGUACACUGUUGUUCUGUUGGAUGGCUUUAUUUUCUCCCACUUAUAUCAUAUCAAGUAGCUUUCAUUCUUAGCUAGCUCUUUGAUAAACUAAUUCCUAAUUUCCACUAGUGUGUUUGAUUAGGUUUGUAAUUGACCAAUGUAAUGUGGUAUAUUGAGUACACUUGGUGCUUUUUAGGUUCCAAACUAUUUAUAAAAUCAAUAAAGAUUGUGGAAUUCUAAAAUUUUAUUUCUCCGUACAAGUAGCUAGCUUUACCAGUGCUGCCCAUGAAAAAAAAAUUAGGUCCCACGAGCACGAGGUACAUUCCAAAAGAAAUAAAAUGAUUCAAAGUUAUCUAACCCUGUUCAAAACUUGAGUAAAUGGCUAACAUUCAUUAUAUUUUGCACAUUAUUGUGUUUACAUACAAAAGGAACUAGUGUAAGAUAUAUAGGUUUGAAGACCACCCCUCAUGAAUGUAAUUUCACCAAGCUAGAGCCUCAAGAAUUGAUCAAUAGAACAGUAGUACCAAAUUUACUCUUAUAUUAUUGGUCAUCGAUCAGCUGAUCAAGUCCUUUCAUUGUAAAGUCUUGAAGUAACCUGUCAAUGUUACAUGGUACAAUAUAUAGUGCUACUUUUCAGCAUACUAGGAUUCAGGUCUCAAUUUCCAUAAAUCUGACCCUUUCUACAAGUUAACACAGUCUUAUAUUAGUAAUUAGUGCAACUUGUUUGUGUUUUCAAAGUUAUAUUAAACUACCAACCUAUGUUUAGGACUAUUUAUAGUAUCUUCUCAAAGUUUUUAGCUGCAAGUCUGCAAUUCCAUCCCAUCCUUGACCUAGCUAGUAUGAAGUAUGAACUAUGGUGGUUACUUGAAGAACUAUAUAAUAUACCAUAUAUGGUUCUUUUGAAUAAAUCAAAUAACUCAUCUAUGUAAAUGGACAGUUUUACUUCUUUUUGAAGUUCUGGGUACUUAUGAGUUAUGACUGUUAUUUUCACCAAAAUAUUUAUGUCCAGCCUCUCCCCCUGAUCACUGAUCAGUUCCUCCUCUACAAGUUACACUGGACUGGAGUGCUAGCUUCUUCAUUGGAUUCAAUUCUAGCUACUACUACACUACUACUACUACCUUAAUUAGAGGCUAUUAAUUGAAAUAAGUCAAUACGACAACCAUGUUUUGAGCCAAAUUUGGUAUUAUUUUGCUUGUACCAAAUUGGAGAGAAUUGAAUUACGCUUAUACGUAGGUAGAUUAGAAAGCAAUCCCAUAUUCCCAUCCAUCUUAAUAAGAUAAAGGAUCAAGAUAGCUAGCUAGGUGUAAUGCACUUGAGAUAUAUAUUACUCUAUCAACUUAUGAUCAGUUGAUGAGUCUGAUUAAUAUGUGGCGUAUCUGUAAAGUGAAACACAUAAUUGUAUGAUGUAAUCUUCUUUCUAUCAAUAUCAAUAGAAUUAGCUGUUGUCUGUUGACCCAAAAAAAAAAAAAAAAAAACACAUAAUAUGGUAUAUGUGACAUUUUUUCAUACUUCUAUUUUAUUAAGAGAAUAACGUGUACAAGCAAAAAAUUUUAUAUGUGUAGCCAACUUCUAUGUGGGUGUGUACAUCCAAUCAUAUGAUGCCACGUGUCUAUAAAGUAGUUGGAAAACUGAUCAAACCCACUAGGGUUAACUAAACCCAUACUAGAUUAUAUUAUUAUUGCCACAUGGCAUUUUGUGAUUGGGUAUACACACCCACAUACAAGUAAGCUACACAUAUAAAAUUCUCAUCUUCAUUAGAAAUAAAGUUCAGGUGAAAGAUAAUAUAUUGAAAAUAAAUAUUUCUUGGCACAUUGUCACAAUUAAUAUGUUGGGACUAAUUCUCUUGGAUCCAAACUAAUGUUUUUUAGCAAGUUGAAACAAAAAACUAAUCCUGAAAAUAAGUGUUCUGAUUAAAUCUUCAUUAAAAUUAUAGUACAAGCUAGAAUCUGUAAGACGCACAAGUGUUGUAUUCAAGAAUUUUGAGGUUUUUUUUUUUUUUUGCUUUGGCUGUUUUGUAUGAGGAAACAACUCAAUCCAUGCAUAAUUGCAUACUAAUUCUUGAUUACAGUUCCAUGAACAUACAUGUAAAAGUGAUGACCCAGCUAGCUGGGGUACGGACGGAUUGAGAGAUGGCCCAUCCCAUUGCCAGAUUUCAAAUCAGAGGAACUGCCAACUGCCAAGUGAAUGAUAUGGGUACGUAACAGUGUAACACUACACAUACAAACACCCAGUUCAUUAGGUGCCCUUGCACUUAAAACUCAAGGGGUAUCCUUAAACAACACUGUGCAUAUUACAUUUGUGCAUAUAUAUAUGUAUACUACAUCAUUGAGGAGAUGACAAUAUUAUUGUUGGCCACGAAGAAAACACGUUGACCCCACUAAUAUAUAUUAAUAAAGUAAUAAGAUCUCAACACGUACAUGUAUCACUACAUACUUGUAUCAUAGUGCCUUUUGAUCAACACAAUCAACAUCAACUCAUCUCGUGAAGCAGCUCAGAUAAAUGAUGAUGAUGGUCGAGAUGAAACUAGCUAAAAGACACCUAUGAACAACCUGUUGAUCUUUGGCCAGGAUGAUGAUUAACAAGUAGACGAUCUUGUUCUUCAAAUUGUAAAACAAUACAGUGUGAUUUGACUGUGGGAUCCCAUCUCUAUCUCAUGAGUAAAAACAAAACUAUAAGAAUAUAUAUAUAAAUCAUGAUUUAAUUUUACAUGCAUUUGGAAGUCAAGAAUGCUUAACAUUGAGAAACUUUUUAAGGUUGAUGAGUGAGUGGACUUAUUGGUGGUGGAUUCUCGAAAAAUUUGAAAUUAUAUGCUUCUCAAGUCAGACUGUAAAACGUAAGUAAUCAAGGGAGUGUGAUGAUCGAUACUUCUAUUAUUCUUAUUUUGCUUGUCUUUUCAUAGGCUAUAGACACCAUCACACCAUAUAUAUGCGGAAACUAUAGAUGUUGUGUCCUAUAUUUUUUUUUUUAACUUUAAUUAGAAAUUAAAAUAGGCGUUUAUAUUUCAAGAUAAAAUGAUGAAAUGUUCAAGAAAAAAACGCGAGCAGGUUUGGGAAUUAGUCUCACACAGCUGCCUUUCCAGUUUCCAUUUAGGAGAGAGUGAAUACCGCAUUGUGGUCAAUAUCAAUUGUUGGGUCGAAUAUAUGCUUGGUGCACAUAUAUAUCAUAGGCCAAAUACUGUGUUAGAUCUGGCGAGAUCCUAACCUGGAACGUAAUAGCUAGUGUAAGACCCACCUGCAGCUUUACCCCUUAUAAAUCCACAGUAUGUCAGUAUUCCUAUUAACAAAUCCUGAUCAGUAUGUCAUAUAAGAAUAGUAAUAUGGAGAACGAGAAGAUGAGAUGUGCAUUAUAAACAGGGAUCGAUGGUAUAAAAAUAUAAGCAUUUACCCCCCUAAUUUGUUUCGCAUAUAGGUUAUAUACUUUUGCCACCCCAGAAUCAGAUUCCUGGCUCCGUGUCAAUAUAGUGUGGGGUUAUAUAUCCUAAACAGCAAAACUGCGAGAAGGAAUCUAAGUGAUGCGGACAACUAUAUAGUGUGGGGUUGUGGAAGGGACGAUCAUUAUAUUGUUACAGAGAAUGAUGCAUGCUGCAUAAGUUAGUAAGUUUAUGGUGUCUGAGUAACUGAUCGAGUUGGCUGUUGAGGAGGUACAUACAGUAUGAUGCUCACAUUAUCUGUCAUUUUUAAUAAUUAUUAUUCCUCUGCUUUAGUCUUUAUUAUUAUUAUUAUUAUUAUUAUUAUUAUUAUUAUUAUUAUGUGGAUGGAUGGAUGAUUGAUGAUGACUGCGUCCAGCGUCCCCCGGCCCCUUGUGUAUCUAUAUAUCUGCAUCAAUCUUAUUAUAACCUGGUCCACUCCCUCUCCCUCUCCCUCUCCCUCUCCCUCUCCCUCAUGCAUUCAUUGCUAUUCUGCUUCUACUACUACGUAGAUCAUUCCCCACACUCAUGCAAGGACAUUUUUCUUAUACUAUGUGAAUGUGCACGCACAAUACCUGUGCGUGUCCGGAUUAAAUAGGUCUCUUAGAUAAAAGAAAGCUCAACCAAAAAAGCCCAACCCAAGAACCAUUAAAUCAUAAAAGAAAACCCAGCGCAGCCUAAAUGCCUAGCCCAGAAUCAUAAAAGAAACCUCAGCCCAGACCUAUUGAAUUUUUUUUUUUUUACUUUUACGUGGGACCCGCCAACACCAGCAGAGAAAAUAGCUGAAAUUAAAAUCUAUCAGAUACGUGUUUUUAUUAGAUUGGCCAGACCCCAGUCGAACCAAAAAAUCAAAUUUCCUAUCCAAUCAUCAACUAUUCACUAUUCCUAAACCAUGCUCUCUUCUAAAGUAGUAAAGAUAUAAAAUGCAUAUAUGUCUAUCUAGCUAAGUAAGCUAGAUUAGGCAGACACUCACCUGUAUAAAUAAAAUCAAAAAAUUACAAUCUUAAAUACAACUUUCCAGAUGUGUCUCCAUCUACAAUUUCUUGUAACCUAUGAUCUAAGGGUGGAAUGAAAAAAGAGCAAGAGUACGUCCGGUAUCUCUUCUAAGGCUGCCAAGCAUAGGUGAAAAAAUCGAAUUUGCCGCCCGGAUAUUCACGAAAUAUUCUGUUUUUUGGCUAUUCGGAUCGGUACGGCAUACGACAUAUAAACGAAAUUUAAAACACCUCAUGCCGUUCGGAAUUUAUCGGAUAUUCACGAAAUAUUCGGCAAAAACCGAAAUUUACGAAAUUUACGACAUUUUUGAUUUGAAAUUAACACAUUUAUUUUUAAUUCCCCAACGAACUAGAAUUUUCGAUGAGAUUAUCAAAAAAAGGUCCAAAAAAGGCACUAGAUGUUUGGAAACUUUCGCGACGAACUUCAUGGCCCUCUCAAUUGAUAUAAUAUAAAGAAAGUUAAAUUUCAUCGAUCAUUUUCCCGCUCAAUUGAAAGUAACAAUUAAUGCUUCUAAGGUUAUUGCAAGUCAGAAUGUAGGAAAGAAUGCAUGUGUCAUAAGAUUAUUAAAUGAGUUCUGUAUUUUCUAUAACUAUCAUCAUUGUAGAGCAAUAUAUUAGAAAGAAACGAAAAAAAAAAGGCACGCCCAUGCCAAAGUGAAGUUCUCUCUCACUUUUAUAAAGUUUUCAUUUAUUUUACGGGGGAGUCUCAAUUUCUUUUUGCCACCCAAGAUGAAGACCAUGCUGCAUGGCAACAACCAAGAGAAGGAAAACGACCUCGACAGAAAAGACCGCAUCCUAAAACGGAAACAAAAUCAUCUAGGGUAUCUUCCCAAGGUUCGUGGAACAUUCCUGACCAGUUUUCUUCCCAAGGUUCGUGGAACCUCUCUUAUUCUCAAAGCAACAUCCAACCUACCUAUGUUUACCCUCAUUUUUCUUAUGGUAACAUGGGAACCUCCCAAAGUGAUGAUUCCAGUGUACCAUCCUACCAAACCCAACCAGAUUCCAGAGGUUCUUGGUUUCCUAAUAUAGGGAGUUGGUUGGCCCCAAUGACAAGUGGGUCGGACGUGCAGUCAGCCGAUACAUUAAUGCCGGUUCAACAAUACUCGAGAUUUCCUAUCUUUGAAUCAUUUGCUCCGUAUUGUAUGGAUCAAGAUGCAUAUGAUAUGCAUAUUGACCAAUUCAGGUCGUACGAGCAAACAAUGUCAUGGGAAUAUUACUGUACUGAGUUCGUCCCCACACGUAUGCGACUCGAAGCUCAUCGGUUUGACAUGGGGCGUCUAUCAUUCUGGGGUUAGCAUGUCUUUUAUUUUGAUUAUUAAAAUAAAACUAUGGGUUGAGUUGUAAUGAGGUUGUUUGUGUUUAGUUCUUGUAUUAGAAACAUAUAAAAGUUCUAUGAAUAUCCGCCCGAUAUUUACGAUUUAUUCACCUAUGAGUAAAACUAUCUUGUGUAAUAGUUCCGCCUUAGCUUCCUUUUAUGAUUUGUCGUGUGUUUAAUUUGUAAUGUAUGUUUUUCUUUUAAUUAUAAGUUUAUAUAUUGAAAUCAGAAGAAAAACACGAACAGUGCAGAAACCUCCCAAUUUUCCGAAUUUUUCGCGAAUAUUCGCGAAUAUCCGCGAAAAAUUCCGGUACAUUUGAAUUUACCAAAACUCCCAUAUCCGACAUGGGAGGUCGGAUAUUCGCGGAAUAUAUCGUUUUUGGGAGGUCGGAUAUCCGCGUUUAAACGACAUUUUCACCUAUGCUGCCAAGUAAUCUGCAGCAGAAUUAAUUACAUUCUCUAUAAAUGUGGGCGAUAGUGGCAAGUUCCAUCAUCUGCUUAAUAUCAGCAACCAUCUCAAUGUUCCAUCAUCUGCUUAAUCAUAAUCUUAGAAGAAUUUUAUAUGAAAGAGUUGUUCUAGCGUUUAACACAUUAAUUAAACAUAAAUAUUGACACAAUAGCAUCCGCACCCCUUUGAUUUUGGCACUUACCCCCCAAAAUGAAAGUUGAAAUUUGCGUUCCCCCCCCCCCUUUAAAAUAUAUAGCAGUUUUCCCCCAAUUGGACAAAAAAAAAGACAGAGUUAUGAAAAUCAAUUUUUGAUUUUUUUUUUAUAUAAAAUAUUUUCACAAUACCAAAACUACCCCUCUGUUUUUUAAACAUAUAUUAAUUAUACCUCCCACUGAAACAUAUAUAAGUAGUAAUACCCCCCACUAAAAUAUUUUGAAGAAAGAAAAUGAAAUUUGUUUGCGAAACUAGGUAAGAAAACAUGGGUGAUUGAGGGAAACAUUUAUCUACUAUUAUUUUUAACAAAUUUUUCAAACAAAUUUCAUCUUCUUUCUUAAAAAUUCAUCCUUCUCUUUCAAUUUUUUUUGCAAAUCGAUUUGGGGGGUAUUUUUAAUUAUGUAUGUUUCAGUGGGGGGGGGGGGGACUAAUUAUGUUUAUUAUUUACAUGUUUAAAAAAAGGAUAGUUUUGAUAUUAUUAAAAUAUUUUAUUUUACGAAAAUUCAAAAAUUGAUUUUUGUAACAUCAUCUUCUUUUUUCGUCCAAUUGGGGGGUAACUGCUAUAUUUUUUCAAAUGGGGGGUAACGUAAAUUUCAACUUUCAAAUGGGGGGUAACGCAAAUUUCAACUUUCAAAUGGGGGUAUGUGCUUAAUGAGUUAAUCAAUGGGCUUUUUUCAUUGCAAGAAUUUCUCAGGCCGAGAUGUCGGGCAUUUGGGCCUAGAGAAUGAAGCUUUUUUCGUAUAUGGAUAUAAUCCAGUCGUGGGCCCAUUUUACCGAACUUAGGGCCCAUUUCACAACUGAUGGCGCCCGCCUGGGGGUCUCGGCCCUCGGUUGAUACUUGAUACAAGAAGCAGCAUAAUAGGUAUGUUGGUUUAUCUACUGCGCGAACAAGAUCUCUCACUGGUCACUGUUAAGUGUCAAUUCAAUGAUCAACUAAAUCAUCUUACUGUCUAUAAUGGCGGGAGCGACUGAUUAAAAAUGUUGCUAUUCAUCAACUAAAAUUUGUAUGAAGAUAAACUAAUCUGUCCUCGGCCACAAAAUGAUAUAUACAGUAUUACUAAUAAAUUCAGGCAUUGUAUUACACUGUGAAUAUAUAGAAAACGCGAAAAAAUAAAAAUCUGCUCACAUUGCAUCAUUUUACAUUAAGAAAAGAGAGAAAACUUGAAUUUUGUAGGACGCACUAAGAACCUACAAUGAAGUUUUGUAACGUAGCAUUUGUGUACUUGACUAGAUAUACAUAAUUUGUAGUUUUAGAUAGCCUCCAAAGUGAGCCACAAAGGAAGGGGCUAAAAAACUUCUAUCUUUUGUUUGAGAGAAAACAAAUCAACACUUUGGGAGAUCAAAUGGUGGAGGAGGCAGCUUUUGAUUUGGAGUUUCUCCAUUCAAGACGAGCCACGCCAUUCUCAAACCCCAGCUUGUAUGGAUAUCAAAGUGGCAGUGCAUAAGCCAUACGCCUGUUUACAUGUCAACAUCCAACACAAGUCAGAUUUGCUAUUGUACAAAGCUUAGUUUGAUCGCCAAAUCACAUCUAACAAAACAAUAGUUAUCAGCACAUUAUUGGUAAGAAAAGCAAUAUAAUAGGUAGUGUAACUCAAGUAUAUUCAUUACUAUAAGUUACAUACUUACAUGCCUCCACAGUAAAGUUAGAGAAAUGACACGAACCUGGAUUAUCUGCAAAGAAGCGAAGAGCCAUCCAACCACCAGGAGGCACACCAACAGUAUUCCUUUCAACAGGGUCAACAAGAUUGAAGUUGGCAGGGUCCUUAUUUGGAUCAUAAUUCCCAAAACCUUGGCCUACUACAAAGAAAUUGAAACCAUGAAGAUGAAAAGGAUGGCUCUCAACACCAAGCAAGUUAGUGUCCUGCAACACUACUUCGACGCUAGUGUUGAAUGGUAAUACAACCAACUUGGUUCCAUUGUUUACCAUAGUGUUGUUAGGUGGGCUGCCAGUGUAGUUGAAAGGGAAAGGUGGAUUUGUAGGGAAGUCGGCAGUAUAGAUACCAUUAGACCUUCCAAAGAAGUGGGCUUCAAGGAGAGCAGUAAUUGGCAUAGUGAAAGAGACAUUGUUGAUUGCAGCUGCUAAUUUGAUACCAUUAGGCCCCUGGCAGGUAUUGUUUCCUGGGCAUGGACUUGAACCGAUUCCAAUUGUGAAUAAAAGACGCUUACCGACUGUUUGAGGAACAUUAGCAGGGUAUUGAGAAUUGGCUAAGCUAUGAAAUUUCUUCGUAAAAUUUGUAACAAAGGACGUAUCAUUUAUUGCUGGAAGAGUUGGUUUAAAUAACGGAAGCUGUUUUAUUGAAACAGAGGAAUAAUUGUAGGGUUUUUUAUAUUCAAGGAUCCCUGCAGUGGUGGAACCAUCAAAAGGGGCUAAACCAGUGGCAUACGGUCUGGCUGCCAUGAGAAAACUCGCAUUGGGGUAGUAUGAUUUAGUCUUGAGUAGGACAUUGGCGGUCUGUCCUGGGGUGAGGAGAAGGGUAGCAGUGCUAAAAGGUUUAAUAUAGACUGCAUCGGCAUCUACAACAGUGAGUGUAUGGUCAGCAAUGCUAAAGAAGAGGUCGUCAUUUACUGCGGCAUUGAUUAAACGGAGAAGAUAGGUCUUCCCAGCCUUCACCUUCAACUUGAAUGUAUCUGUAAAUGCCAAAACUCAAAUCAAACAUGUAAGAAAUGCUUCGUGUUCAUGUCUGGCCUGCUAUCUUAAUUAAUGCCAAAUGCAGUUAACUAAUUAAAGACAUUUACCACAAAGUGUCAAAAUGCCCACAAUUACCUUUUGUAGAGCAGUUGUACAAAGGACCUGGAAAUCCAUUGAUGGUGUAGGCAUCAGAAAUAUUUGGCCCUCCACCUGUCUGUAAAGCCUGCGAAAUAACGUCUUCAGGGUCUGAAUUCCACCAUUCUCCUGAACCAUAAUAUAUACUUGAAUUAGUUGAAUUCACUACAACACAGAAGUGGCAGCUUGGAUUGAUCUUAUUCACCGUGAGUUUACCAAAGAUGAUUGGGACUUCCUUGUAAGGCUUAGCAAAUGGAUAGGAAACAUUUCGCUUCGGGAGGAUGAUUAUAGGUCCAUAGAGGGUUGACCUCAGCCAUGAGAUGUGAGCAUGCCAGAAGAGAGUCCCUCUCUGACCAGUAAUGGUGAAGUUGUAGACAUAAGUUUGGCCAUUCUGUAUCGGACAUUGAGUAACAUAUGCAGGUCCAUCUGCCCAACCACUGAGAAGUUGCCGAAUUCCAUGCCUUUUUGCAUGCAUGAUUCAUCAUUACCCAGACAGAACCAAAACAAACACAAUUUAGAAUAAAUCUACAAAUUCACUGACAAUCUGAAUGGAAUAUAGGACAUACUUCAUCACAUGUAUAUGACAUCUAUAGCCAACUGCUCAGCUAAAAAUAUAUACAAAAGACUACUCAUGGUAUAUACUAAAACUCGAGAAUUUUGCAAAUUAUAUCCAUACCAAUGCAAAGUGACAUUGUUUUGUACAUGGUUUACAACCUUAACAAUCACCCGAUCACCUUCACGUACAAUUAUUGGAGGGCCAGGAAGCAUUCCAUUCACGCUCACAAUGCUCUUUGUGUGGCACAGUCUUGUUAUCUUCUGCAACUUUAUCUAUAAAAGAUAGUUAACAUGUAAUUAGAAAAUAAACAAAUGUAUUUCAAUCAUAUUUGACAAAAGUAACUCCAAAGUGUGUGAUCAAAGUUGAUCGGGAAAUGUACCUCAAACGUGUAGUGCCUCGUUAUGCCAGUAUUCUUAGCAAGUACUAACCCUGGAAGUUGCAGGAAAACACCUAAUCCUAGUAGCAAAGCUCUUAUACUUAAACAAAAGAUUGGUGGAGAACCUGGAAUAGGUGAAGCAACCAUGUCUUUCUUUUUUGCUAUCUCUGGUACAAUAUUUUGGUGACAUAGUACCAUCUGUAGUGUAACUGCAUAUAUAGAAUUUGAUUAAAGUUAAGUUUUUGGUUUAUCAUGUGAUGAGACUUCAAUUCAAGAAAACUACCAUAAGCAGUCUAGCUUCAUGUCUUUCUUAUCUAGAAUAUUCCACAUUUUGGUGAUAGUUGAGCUUAAUGUUAAUAUUAAUUGGAGUGAUAUUAAAGCAAAGAAAUUAUUAGGGUUUAUUUCUGAAGAUUAAAAUCCAAGGACUUUUCGCAAAUGUAACACUAGUAGAUUAUUCAUUUUUUUUAUUAUUAUUAUUAAAGAAUAUUAUUGAGAUGUAAAAAGAAUUUUUACACCCUGAACAACAUACACAUAUGAAUAUGCAUAGUCAGGUUAAACCCAAAGCAUAAGCUUACAAGAGAAAGACUCGAACCAGUCUCAACAAAACAGUCUUACAGUUACAGAGGUCCUUAUUCCUGCCUUAUGUAAGUUCCCAUGAUGAUGCUAUCCCAAUUCUCAAGGGAAGGUGUCUUCCAAAACAAUGGGCAAAGUUUAUCUUCAUUUACUCCCUUCUAGAAACAGAACUUGUUGUUGUUUUUAUCCCCAUUCCUUCCAAGGGCUACAAAUUUCUUUGAUAUCUUACCAAAAAAUGUGUAUCAUGUGUAUUGACAUUGUUCAUAGAUUGUUAUAAUUUCUUUUGUGUUUGCACUCUUCAUAUAAUAAUGUAGGAUGGUGCAAUUUCUUCCUCUGCAAUUUAGAGAAAGACAAAGAUGUAUCACCUGCAGCCAAUUGAUUCAUACAUACAUUACCCACAGUGCUGAAAACAAUUGAACACACAUCAAGAACAAGACGUCUCACCUAGCUAUGAGUUAUGACACCCUUCCAACCCCAACAAGAACUAAAGAAAUAAAAGCAAAAAUUGUGUAAACUCAAUUUCUUGACAGGUUUUCAUCCAUGAAAUUCAAGUUAUUAGUAUUACUGCUUGUUAAAUGUGAAGGUGGAGAAAAUUUACCACCUUCAUAAACAAAUUUGGGUAAGAUUUCUCUAAAGGCCCACGUUUUCUUAAAGGAGUCCGGCCCAAGUUUUGUUGGACUUGGACAACAGGCCUAAUGAGCUUAUAGCAUCCGACAGCAAAUUAUAGGGCUAUGUUCCACACUUGCCGCUUUCGAUUGUCAAAGCUUAUAGCAAAUUAUUAUUAUUGACUCAAAGCUUCAUUAUGCAUUGCAGCAUAAUGGAUUAAAAGAACUUGAAAUUAUAUUUCAGGUUUUGAACUGAAGUGGUAUUUGUAUAUAUGUAGCUUUCGAUCAUUGGACGGACCCUAGAAAGAUAUCUUGGUUUCCAUGAACCCUAGAAAGAUACCAUAGUAUCAAAUGGUCAAACUUUGGUUAUGCCAAAAAGAAGAUUGCCAAGAAAAACUUGUCAUCUUUUUAGUCAUAUUAAUAUGAAAUAUGUACACUACCUUGAUAUACAGUACAUUUCAAUUUUCAACCAAGGUACCUACCAUGGUUGAUUUUAUUGAAAAAGUAGUUGGAAAUAUAUGAGUACUAAUUAAGAAUUUAAAAUCAAACAUACAUCUAUGUUGACAAUCUCGAGAAUGAAAUUAAUCAUCAUGUUCCUUUACAUUGUGGGAUCCGAAAUUAGGGAACAACUCAACUAAGAAAGAUCUGUAAAAAUUAGAAAAUUGUAUAGUGGAAAACUGAACUAAGAUGUAUGGAUCUUGGAGAGCCAUUUACAAAGAAGAAGUAAAAUUUCGAACAUUCCAAGGCAUAAAAGCCAAUACCAAUAGCACAGCAAAUAUUCCUAUAGGAAGUAAUAACAGCAUCAAUGGUGGAGGUGGCAAUGGUGGCAAGAUUAGAGGAAGAAGUAACAAAGAAGCAGCAAGACAAACCAUUAAGAAUAAAGAUUCAACACUGAAAUAACUUGAUGAAGAGACAGAUUUUUUGCUACUAUUUCCUUGUGAAAGAGACCAUAGAUAAUCUCUACUUUUUUCUUGCACCAAAGUUCUUGAUCUUGUUCUAUGAUGAUCCAUUAAAACAAUAAUUCUAUUCCUUAAAUCAACAAAUUUCAAACAACUCAACUCUUCCAAGUAGCUCAACCUUAAACCAAGUAUGUAUAUGUUCCAAUCUUCAAAUCUUGAAAUGACUUCUAUUCACCUUGCUUGAUGUGUUGUUUCCUUCCUUCACUUGUGUUGGAAUGUUGUUCUGGUUUUUGAAAGCUGUGUAGGUAAAGAUAGAAAUGUUCCUUGUUUAUAUUUGCAGUAGAUUUAGACUUUAGGAACAAUACAAAGGAAUGGAAAGAGGAAAAACAGAUAUGGGGGGUUUUGGGUUACAUUCAGUGAAUUUAAUCUUAAAUAAUGCUGACACGCAAGUGGAUUGUUUGGGAAAUAGGGGUCCAGGGGGAGUGUUGUGAAUUUUAAGGUUCUUCCCCCUUGGUCAAGUUAAUCACAUACUUAACCUCACCUAGUGACCUCACAUCUUUCUUUUGAGUUUUGACCCCUCUGUUUCCAGCCGUUGCAGUAGCACCCUCUCUUUUUACUUUCACCUCCUGUCUCUUCUUUUCUUUUCUUUUCUAGAUUCUCUUUUAAUAUUCCUCUCACAUGUAAAGACCACUGUAGUCUAUAACUCUGUAGUCUGUACUGUCCAUCACCACACCCUUCUCUCCCUCACUCCAUAUAUAUAUGCUGAGAGGUAAAAAAAAAAACAAAAAACAAAUCAAGAUCUGUAGAUGGGGUUAUAAUUUGUAUGCUUCACAAGCCUAGAUGUAUAAAUACAUUGUUUUUUUUUUAUAAAUACAUUGUUUUGAACUCUCACCAAAUGACCAAAUACUACUUUAUACUAUCAAUGAUUUUCAUGAUCAAUAUAGUACUAUAAUUAUUUUAUACAAUAUUUAUAUAUAAUAAAUUUAUUUUUUGGUAAAUUAUUUUUUCACUUGAAUUUAUAUGAAUCCUAGAAAUCUCUACUAGGAUUUCAUGAAGCCCUACGUGUCACACACAGUCACACACAUAUCUCUACAUAUAUAAUUACAGUUUUACCCACACAUAUCUCUACAUAUAAUUAUAAUUUUACCCUCAUAUAUCUCUACAUAUAUAAUUACAAUUUUACCCACACAUAUCACUACCUAUAAUUACAGUUUUACCCAUAUAUAUCUCUACAUAUAAUUACAGUUUUACCCACAUAUAUCUCUACAUAUAUAAUUACAAUUUUACCCACAUAUAUCUUUACAUAUAAUUACAAUUUUACCCACACAUAUCUCUACAUUUAAUUACGGUUUUACCUUUAUCAUAAUUAUUAUAAACAUACCGUAUAAAAACCCAAACCCAUAUCCAAUACUUAUAAUUACGAUUUUACUCUUAUCUUAAUUAUUAUAAGCAUGUUGUAUAAAAGCCCAGACCCAUACCCAAUACUGAUAAUUUCAGUUUUACUCUUACCUUAAGUAUAAAUAGGCCAUAUAAAAACCCAAACCCAUACCCAAUGCUAAUAAUUCCGGUUUUACUUUUACGUUAAUUAUAAGCAGGCUGUAUAAAAACCCAAGCCCAUACCCAAUAAUAUUUAUACACAUAGAUACUGAUAAUUUUGUUUUACCUUUACUUUAAUUAUGAGCAGACUUUAUAUAAAGGUCCAAGCCCAUACCCAAUAAUAUCCCCACUUAUGCAGCAUGCAUAAGCGUGCAUAUUCACUUAGUUAAGUAUAAGGAUGGUUGUUAAGAUUUACAUUUUUUUUUUUUUUUUUUGGUAAAGUCCUAAGAUUUACAUAAACACUUAAGAUGUAUGUUUAGGAGAAUAAUUAAAUAAUUACUCCUAAUCGUUAUAGAGUCAAGAUUUUCUGUCAAAAAAAUACGCACACACCAAGAAGUGAAAGUGAACAAAUUAAAUACAGUAAAAUAAUUAUUGGAAGUUCCUGGAUCUGUCCCUGGUUUGAAUGGGGUUGUGGGUGACCAAAUCAGAAUGAUUCAUAAUUUCUAGAUGUAGUAAAUAAUGGCUUUAUAUAUUGGUAUGGUCAGCUUCAGCUAGUAUUCCUUGAAUGCAAAUUAGUACACGAACAAAAGGUGUCUAAAAGGUCCCUACAUGUCUAAGAACACAGAGAUAACUUAGAACCCACUUCUUGUUCAAUACAGCGAACCUUCAUCCAUUUGGCCAUGUGCAAGCACAUUAUCAUACAUUCAUACCUACUUAUAUUAACCAAAAACUAUAAUGCUUGAUUCAGUUUAUAUAACUCAAUUUUAACAUUUUGCAUGUGUCAUGCUCAUGCCUCCUUUUGACCCCCAUUAAACAACUUAUUAGGCCAAUAAGUCAAAAUCAUUCAACUCAAUUUCUUUGAAUACAACUUACAGAGGUUAGUUAUUCAAGCCUCCAUAGGUAAUCCAAGUCUCUUUCUAGCUAUCUUCUUUACAUAUUGAAGUUGUUCAUGGACUUUAGCCUCUGGUUCGACUGGUCAUAUUCCAUUGUGGCAGCAACGUUGUGACUGAGUUACUCGUAUGUGCUGCUAGUAGGCCACUAUAACAAAUAACAAUACAAAGUACGUACAGUCCUGUUUUGGUCCCCAGUAGGCCAGUACAGUGUCUUUGAUUUAUUUCCGCUGUAGUUAACAGUAACACUGCAUUUUUUGUGCAAUUAAUGUUUUGACUUAGGAUGAACACACUCAAAUAGUCGUAUGGGCCAGUAGCCCACUAAAGUCAUUGUAUUAACCUAUUUCUAGAUUAAUGCAUUAACAGGUUAGGUCGCUUUGAGGACUUAACCAAAUGGGGAUAUUUUGGAUAGAAAUGGCUGCACCUCGUUGAGAUCGAGAUUGCCUACGUACUCUAGCUCGGGGGAAUUGAACCUAGAGAUCAAGCCAUCGUAGUUCUGUUUAUAUAGGAGAUGGAAGGGCGUGGAUCGUGGAUCUUGCAGAUUCUCCGCCAUCAUAAUGAUGAUUAAAUGUGUAACGCGCGAGGAUCAUCCCUGUGAAUUAACUCCGUAACUGAAGAGAAUAUUCUGUGCAUUGAAUAGGAGCACGUGUGAAUAGCAGGUCGCUGGUCGUUGUGUAGUCUGGUCGCUUUAGUCGAGCUUCUGGUGAGUCGAGAUUGUGGCGACCUGACAGAUUGGUGAUUGUGCCACGUGGCUGCUUUUGAUUGGUCGGAGUAUGUAGUACCCCUACAUAAGCCCCCUCUUUUUAGGUCGACUAUUGGAGUCGGGCUGAAAAGACUAAUUACUCUUAUCGAUGCUGAUUUGUAGUUUGCUUUUUGAAGUUGCUGACGUGGCAGUCAUGCAGCGCUGUCUGUGGUAAUCAUGGCGCUGUUAUGGGGAAGUGGAGGAGUUUCCUCGAGCAGUUAGAUGUGUGAUUAUGGCAACUGAAGCACGUACUGCCUGAUUUGCUAUUUGUCUUGCACGUGGAUCAAUCCAACGGUGGAUGCGAACCGUUUUGUGAGUGGAGGAUGACUGUACUGCAUAUGGAUCCGUUUGUCGAUCUCAGCCGUUCGUUUGUUUUGAAUCGAUGGCUAGAAAUUCUUGAGCUACAGUAUAUAAACUGUAGUUACGUUGAUGUAGGUUUACUCAUCUUGCCUUUAUUUGAAUUGCUGCCGCUUUUGCCUUGCGAACUGAAGAACUUUGAGAGCUCGUGAGGUUUGUUCUCUUUUCUUUUCUCUGAUUGCUUGUUUUCUUUCUUUUUCUUCGUCUGUUGUCUUCUGUAUUGCUUGAGAGUAAUGUCUGAGGGUAGUGAUUCUCAAAAUGACCACUUGAGUGAUGAUGGGAUUGAAGAGUAUGAGUCUGAGAGUACUCAUUCUGACCCUCCGUCCCCCGUUCCCGAUGAGAUUGUAGAUAGCCCCCAGAGUAGUGGUUCUCAUGGUCCAGAUUCGUCUGACGAUGAGAUGGUUGAAGAUGAUGAUGGUAGAAUGUGUAGGAUUGUGAAUAUGAAUUAUGUACAUAGGCAUUUUGCUGUUAGGAGUCAUUACAAGUUUAGGUCGAUUAGGAAUUUAGAGAUAAGGUUUCUUGGGGACCGCUUACUUUCUCCUGAUUACCGACCUCAUAAUCCUUCAUCUACUGUAUUGACAUUGAGCCAAUUCCGUGCUGGCUUGAGGUUGCCGUUGUCUGAAUUGGUUGUCGACUUGUUGAAUGCCAUUAGGCGAGCCCCCUGUCAGAUGAAUGGUAACUUCUGGCGGAACAUGAGGGUUAUUGACGACCUCAAUAAGUUGCAUAGGUGGCACAUUACAGCGGAAGAUGUAUUGAACCACUUUUGCUUCAAACGCUCUUCGAAGGUUGAACUUUCUGGCUAUAACAUGCAGGUUAGGCCAGAUCGUUUGCCUCUGAUUUAUCCAGUGAGUAGCGAGCAAUGGUGGAAAGAUCCCAUGCUAUUCACUGGGCCGAUUGUUGAAGGGGAUGUCCCAUUGCGACAUACGAUCAGGAAUGAUGAUCGUAAGUUAGUUGUCUGUAGUUUGAUGAUAGUUCGUCUUCUUGUUUUUGAACUUGAUAUGUCUGAAUUUAUUUUUCUGCAGCGAUUCGGGACGAUCAUCUUAGAAGGAACGAUCUGCAGUCUGCUCUGAACUGUUUUGGGAAGUUGGCUGACAAGCGGAAGAUCUCGUUUCUGCCUCACCUAAAGGAGCACUUCAUUCCUAAAGGUGGUCCAAAAACUGUGGUGGCUGAGCUCAAGAGAAGGAAAGCUUUGAAGAAAGUAUACAUGUCUUCUGUGCACAAAGCUAGUGGUGGGCGAGCUAGUAGUGGUUCGCGAGCUGAUGAUAGUGAACGGGCUAGUGGUAGCUCGAGGGGUGGUGAGAAGGAACGAGCUGUUGCUAGCUCGAAGUCUGCUGAGGAGAGGGGACGAGCUGUGUGUAGCUCGAGGGCUGGUGAGAGAGAGCGGCCUGCUGUUGCUGCUCGUAGGCCGGAGAAAGAACGGCCUGUGGAGAGUGAGAGAGUUGGUGGUGGCUCGCGCCAGGUGGAGGCAGUGGCGAGCCCCCAAGUUGUGUCUCCUCCGCCUUCACUUCCCAAGCUGCCUGCAUUUUCUGGGCAGAAGAAGAGGUCUCACUCGGGUACUCUGAAGCUGUUGGAGAGACCCGUUGUGCCGACACCUGCUCUUACCCCUCCUGUUAGGGGUCCUGAGAUAUCUGCUUUGUCGAUGAAGACUGUUGCUCGGCCUUCGCAGAAAGGCAAGGGUGUGAUGUCUGAGUUUCGCCCUGGGCCUUUCGACUACUUGGAUGGCCGUGGUGAGAGGCAUGUCGUGUAUGACAACGACAGUGCCAUUGAUGACCCUUGCGUCGCCCGAGCUGUGAAUGAGGGCAUCGUUCUGGAGGCUGAUGCUCGAGCUGUGAAGUCUCAAUCCCUCUUGGUCAACUGCUCAAAGCUGAAUUCGGCGCUGUCUUUGGUAGGUGUUGCCAAAAAGUCUUAAUUUCUACUUUAGUCGUUUUUGUCUAAGUUGCUUUCGCUUUGUAGGUGAACGCGACCUUCCAGGAGAUUCGUUUGGUCGCUGAAGUUGGCGCCCAGGCUGAGGUUGAGCUGAAGGCGAUGAGUGACAAGCUUGAGCAAGCGAAGAAUGUUGCCCUUGUUGCGGAGUGCAAGGUGAGGGAUAGGGAUUGUCAGGUUGCGGCGCUGAAGGAGACAGUGGAGCAGCUGAAGGAGGCCAACGAGCAGCUGAAGGCAAAUGUGGCUGCUGCUAACGCCUCUGCUGAGCACUGGCAGAACGUAAGCCAGGAGAAUGGUGCGGCGUGGCAGGCCUACUGUGAGCAGCUGCAGAAAGCUUUGAUGGGGUCGCCCGAAGGAGAGGAGACGCGAGGUGGUGUUGGAGAUACUUCGGCGCCAGCUCAGGACACCUCGAUGGGCCCUAGCGAACAGGUCGUUGGAACCCCUAUUGAAGUUGAUACUUCAGGCGGCCAGUCUGUGCAGCAAUGAGCUCGCCUUGGUUUCCCCUUCUUAUAUUGGGUAACCUUGGUUUUCCCCUUCUUGUAUUGGGUAACCUUGGUUUUCCCUUUCUUGUAUUGGGUAACCUUGUGCACAGUUUGCUUCUUGCACUCCUUGUUCUUGCAAUACGUCUUCCAUAGCUUAUUCACGAAAGCCCCCCUUGUAAUCUUUGAAAGCUUGACUGGAGAACUUCUUGUCUUUUGUAUUUGGUGUUGGUAACCAGCUUUUAGUUUGAUGAGUUUUGUAUAGAUUCCUUUUCGCGAGCUAGUUUCCAGGAAGUCCUGGUAGCUCGUUCAGAAGGCAGGUAGACGAGAUGAAUGGCUGCAAGCAGGACGCACUGAAACAGUUCCUCUUGUAUGCCUUGAUUCUAUUUUGGUUGUACCUGUAAUUGUUAAAAUCUCAUAAAGUAAAAGUUAAUUUAACUAUUUACCUUGCAUUGUUGAUUAUGCCGUUUUGUCUGCUUGAGUGGACUUGCAAACAAUGUGUGACAUUUGUUCGACCUGAUCGGGGGCUGAGGUCGCUUUUAACAUAACUGUGCUUGGGUCGUGGAAGGAGAAAGACCAAUGCACCAAGUUAAGUUGCUAGUGAUUUAACUUAACAAAUUUUG
rnacentral:lncRNA from 1 species